rnacentral:rRNA from 1 species
GAUGAACGCUGGCGGCGUGCCUAAUACAUGCCAGUCGAGCGAACGGACGAGAAGCUUGCUUCUCUGAUGUUAGCGGCGGACGGGCGAGUAACACGUGGAUAACCUACCUAUAAGACUGGGAUAACUUCGGGAAACCGUAGCUAAUACCGGAUAAUAUUUUGAACCGCAUGGUUCAAAAGUGAAAGACGGUCUUGCUGUCACUUAUAGAUGGAUCCGCGCUGCAUUAGCUAGUUGGUAAGGUAACGGCUUACCAAGGCAACGAUGCAUAGCCGACCUGAGAGGGUGAUCGGCCACACUGGAACUGAGACACGGUCCAGACUCCUACGGGAGGCAGCAGUAGGGAAUCUUCCGCAAUGGGCGAAAGCCUGACGGAGCAGCGCCGCGUGAGUGAUGAAGGUCUUCGGAUCGUAAAACUCUGUUAUUAGGGAAGAACAUAUGUGUAAGUAACUGUGCACAUCUUGACGGUACCUAAUCAGAAAGCCACGGCUAACUACGUG